GAUGAACGCUAGCGAUAGGCUUAACACAUGCAAGUCGAGGGGCAGCAUGGUCUUAGCUUGCUAAGACUGAUGGCGACCGGCGCAUGGGUGCGUAACGCGUAUGCAACUUGCCUCACAGAGGGGGAUAACCCGUCGAAAGACGGACUAAUACCGCGUACACUUGGGAUAGGGCAUCCUGACCGAAGGAAAUGAAAUUCGCUGUGAGAUAGGCAUGCGUCCCAUUAGCUAGUUGGUGAGGUAACGGCUCACCAAGGCGACGAUGGGUAGGGGAACUGAGAGGUUGAACCCCCACACUGGUACUGAGACACGGACCAGACUCCUACGGGAGGCAGCAGUGAGGAAUAUUGGUCAAUGGGCGAGAGCCUGAACCAGCCAAGUCGCGUGAAGGAUGACUGUCUUAUGGAUUGUAAACUUCUUUUAUACGGGAAUAACAAGAGCCACGUGUGGCUCCCUGCAUGUACCGUAUGAAUAAGCAUCGGCUAACUCCGUG
rnacentral:rRNA from 1 species